rnacentral:rRNA from 1 species
AGACGUCUACAUUAGAUACCCCUGUAGUCCCAGCCGUAAACUAUGCGCGUUAGGUGUACUGGUGACCACGAGUUACCGAGGUGCCGAAGGGAAACCGUGAAACGUGCCGCCUGGGAAGUACGGUCGCAAGGCUGAAACUUAAAGGAAUUGGCGGGGGAGCACCACAACAGGUGGAGCCUGCGGUUUAAUUGGACUCAACGCCGGGAAGCUCACCGGAUAGGACAGCAGAAUGAUUGCCGGGCUGAAGACCCUGCAUGACUAGCUG